rnacentral:rRNA from 1 species
CCCUUAGAUGUUCUGGGCCGCACGCGUGCUACACUGAGUGGAUCAGCGGGUCAGGUUGCGCGAAAGCGUUUCCUAAUCUUUAAAUCCGCUCGUGAUGGGGAUUGACGGUUGCAAUUUUCUGUCAUGAACGAGGAAUACCUUGUAAGCGCGGGUCAUCAUCCCGCGCUGAAUACGUCCCUGCCCUUUGUACACACCGCCCGUCGCUCCUACCGAUUGAGUGGUCCGGUGAGGCUUUGGGAUCUGAGCGGAAAGAGCGUUUCGCUGAUUCUGCUCGGAAAACUCAGUCGAACCUUAUCAUUUAGAGGAAGGAGAAGUCGUAACA